UGGGGAAUUUUGGACAAUGGGCGAAAGCCUGAUCCAGCAAUGCCGCGUGUGUGAAGAAGGCCUUCGGGUUGUAAAGCACUUUUGUCCGGAAAGAAAUCCUCUGGGUUAAUACCUCGGGGGGAUGACGGUACCGGAAGAAUAAGCACCGGCUAACUACGUGCCAGCAGCCGCGGUAAUACGUAGGGUGCAAGCGUUAAUCGGAAUUACUGGGCGUAAAGCGUGCGCAGGCGGUUUUGUAAGACGGAUGUGAAAUCCCCGGGCUUAACCUGGGAACUGCAUUCGUGACUGCAAGGCUAGAGUAUGGCAGAGGGGGGUUAGAAUUCCACGUGUGAGCAGUGAAAUGCGUAGAGAUGUGGAGGAAUACCGAUGGCGAAGGCAGCCCCCUGGGCCAAUACUGACGCUCAUGCACGAAAGCGUGGGGAGCAAACAGGAUUCAGAUACCCUGGUAGUCCACGCCCUAAACGAUGUC
rnacentral:rRNA from 1 species